CAUCCGCACAUGUCACUGAUAUCGUAAUAUAUCGUUACAGAAUUAUUAUCAUGGAAUUGCUGAAUCUAAUGUUGGCCAUAAUAGUCGCAGAAAUUUACAUAGUUAGUCCAAAUAUUUUGGACCAUGCAGAUCUGGGUUAAAAUAGCCUGCAACAAGAUCGCUGUUCUUUGGUGUUGAAGCUAGAGGAUAAAGUGGUGGAGUGUAAUGGAGAAGUCCGCACCGUCAAGAACUGUCACCAGGGGCCACGUUCUGUCUGUUAUUUUCGGUGAGCUCGUGCGAACAAAAGCUCCACGCUGGAGUCGUGGCACAUUGCGAUACGCAGCAGAGCUACUUACACCCAAUCACCUAUGUCGACGAAGAAAUUAUCGUUAUUAACGAUAGACCAGCGUUCGUACGUGUGGAUAAUAUCUCGUCAAACUAAGACUGAAGUACUGUACAGAAUGAUAUUAUAUAUUUAUGUUUGGUUGUUAUGAAUCUGCUGACCCAGCGGAUUUGGCGAAUGCCUCCGUUUUGCUGAGCUGUUUCCGCCCACAAUGUUACACUAUGUUCAUGGAAUUGCAGAAUCUAAUGUUGGCCAUAAUAGUCGCAGAAAUUUACAUAGUUAGUCCAAGUAUUUUGGACCAUGCAGAUCUGGGUUAAAAUAGCCUGCAACAAGAUCGCUGUUCUUUGGUGUUGAAGCUAGAGGAUAAAGUGGUGGAGUGUAAUGGAGAAGUCCGCACCGUCAAGAACUGUCACCAGGGGCCACGUUCUGUCUGUUAUUUUCGGUGAGCUCGUGCGAACAAAAGCUCCACGCUGGAGUCGUGACACAUUGCGAUACGCAGCAGAGCGACUUACACCCAAUCACCUAUGUUGACGAAGAACUUAUCGUUAUUAACGAUAGACCAGCGUUCGUCCGUGUGGAUAACGAACAUACACCUUAAAGGUAGGUACCAGAGAACUGCAAGGGUGGAAUUUUUUGCCACUCGACCCACACAACAAUUUUGAGUGCGGCUGCCACUCACCACUAACAUCGCGGGUACUUACAAACACCCAGUAAAAAACCUGCAUGUGCAGGCAAGCCGCCGGUUGUGCGCGAGUCACCAUCAGAGCGGGAGUCCUCUUGGUUCUGUCAAUCGUGGCCCAGGUGACGUAGAUAGUUGCAAUAUCCAGUUAUGUAUUGCUCCUCUAGUCAAAUUUCCGAUUGCCUUCUUCAAUUAUG